rnacentral:rRNA from 1 species
UACGGAGGGUGCGAGCGUUGUUCGGAAUCACUGGGCGUAAAGCGCGUGUAGGCGGCCUCUUAAGUCUGAUGUGAAAGCCCGGGGCUUACCCCCGGAAGUGCAUUGGAAACUGGGAGGCUGGAGUACCGGAGAGGAAGGUGGAAUUCCUGGUGUAGCGGUGAAAUGCGUAGAUAUCAGGAGGAACACCGGUGGCGAAGGCGGCCUUCUGGACGGAUACUGACGCUGAGACGCGAAAGCGUGGGGAGCAAACAGG